UUCCUUUGGUCGCUUCGGGGAGCAGCUCGCACAGGUGCUCCGAGACACACUCUGGAGAGAGAAGCGGGGAGCUGCGAGUCCCGGGAGAGGCCGGGCGGGGCUGUCAUCUCUCCCGGAGCUGAGCCGCGCUGCCGGGGCUCCAGAAGCUCUUAAACUUCGCCGGAUCGCUCCCCAGCGAUGCCCCGGAUCGGGGUCCUCCUGCUCCUGAUACUUGCCAUUCUCGCUGAAUCGACUAAAGAUAAUUCCCCAGUGACUAAUACCUAUUCUGAGCCGUUGAAACCGAGUAAGAACAUUACCAAAAGGGAGUCCGGGUGUCCGGAAGGCCAACAGCGUCAGGGCAGUUUCUGCUGCCUGCCAUGUCUUCCUGGUGAACGGAAAAAGGAUGACUGCAAAGCUCAUGGGGACAAACUAGUCUGUGAGCCCUGCCAGGAAGGGAAGGAGUACACAGACAAGGAACAUUUUUCUUCUACAUGCAGAAGAUGCGGGAUUUGUGAUGGAGAACAUGGCUUCGAAGUGGAAAAAAACUGUACCAAGACCCAGAAUGCCAAGUGCAGAUGUAAACCAAACUAUUUUUGUAAGGCUCCACCAUGCGAACACUGUGACCCUUGCCGCACGUGUAAACAUGGAAUCAUUGAGGAUUGCACAGCAACCAGUGACACCAGAUGUAAAGAAGGAUCCACAUCUCACGCACACUUGGCGUGGCUCCUGCUCCUGGUUCCAAUAGCUAUACUAAUAUUUUUGGGGGUGAAAAAACGGUGCUGGAAUAAUAAUCGUCCUCAACCUACACCUCCAGAUACUGAAAAUCCCCCAGUGUUUAUUACUUCAGACAUUGACUUGACUGACUACAUUAGCGUUAUUGCUGAUAUAAUGACAAUAAAUGAAGUUAAAGAUUUUGUUCGGAAGAAUGGUCUCAAAGAAGCCAAAAUAGAUGAAAUCAAGAAUGACAAUCUCCAAAAUACAGCUGAACAGAAAGUCCAGCUGCUCCGUAAUUGGUAUCAAGUUCACGGGAAGAAGGAUGCAUAUGACACUUUGAUUACAGGUCUCAAAAAAAGCAAACUUUGUACUAGCGCAGAAAAAAUUCAAGAUAUAAUCCUAAAGGACAUUGCUAGUAAACGUGAAAAUACUAACGUCACAAAUGAAAAUGAAAGCCAAAAGUUUCUCUAAAGUGAAAAACAACUAGUUUUGAAUAUAGACAAUACAUAGAAAAAUUAGUGUUUGAAUAAGCUAAGUGAAGGCUGUAAAUAUUGCUUAACUUUUUACUGGGAAUAUUUUUCUUUUUACAUUUAAUAUAUUUGCAGAGCUAUAUAUUUAUGUGUUUUAAGGACCUCAUGAUUCUGUCUUCCUUCAAGAAUAUUUAAAAUCUAGACAUGCCUGUUUAAGAAUAAAUGCAAUGGCAUGGUAGGUAUACACAUAGGUGUAUUUGCAAAGACAAAACAUUGGGGUCAUGCUCUAAUAUCUAAUGUAUAAUUCCACAGAUUAAAAAUGUUUCAUGAAAGUCAUUUUUUGGUAUUUCUCAUUAUCCUUUUUUUUGUUGAGACCUUGCCUUUUUUGUUUUUUUUUUCUUCAUUUCUCUAACUACAGCUAACUGUAACCUGUUCAGGAGUCUUCAAUGCUGUCUUUGGUUUCUCAGGGAGUAUUUACCUUUUAAACUCCUUUUGGUAGUUAAAUAUUUCCUUCAUAGGCCAUAACUUCCC